rnacentral:rRNA from 1 species
AGUGAACGCUGGCGGUAGGCCUAACACAUGCAAGUCGAACGGCAGCACAGUAAGAGCUUGCUCUUACGGGUGGCGAGUGGCGGACGGGUGAGGAAUACAUCGGAAUCUACUUUUUCGUGGGGGAUAACGUAGGGAAACUUACGCUAAUACCGCAUACGACCUACGGGUGAAAGCAGGGGAUCUUCGGACCUUGCGCGAUUGAAUGAGCCGAUGUCGGAUUAGCUAGUUGGCGGGGUAAAGGCCCACCAAGGCGACGAUCCGUAGCUGGUCUGAGAGGAUGAAACGGCACACUUGGAGAGGAGGACGGGCCAGACUCCCAACGGGAGGAGGCGUGGGGGAAUAUUGGAGAAGGGGGGCAAGCCUGUUCCGGCAAGGCCGCGGGGUUGAAGAAGCCCUUCGGGUGGUAAGGCCAUUUUGUUGGGAAAAAAAACCGCCAGUUUAAUACCCGGCUGUUUGACGGUAACCAAAGAAUAAGCAACGGCUAACUUUGUG